AAUCCAUAGGUUAAUGAGGCGAACCGGGGGAACUGAAACAUCUAAGUACCCCGAGGAAAAGAAAUCAACCGAGAUUCCCCCAGUAGCGGCGAGCGAACGGGGAGGAGCCCAGAGCCUGAAUCAGCAUGUGUGUUAGUGGAAGCGUCUGGAAAGGCGCGCGAUACAGGGUGACAGCCCCGUACACAAAAGCGCAUGUGCUGUGAGCUCGAUGAGUAGGGCGGGACACGUGGUAUCCUGUCUGAAUAUGGGGGGACCAUCCUCCAAGGCUAAAUACUCCUGACUGACCGAUAGUGAACCAGUACCGUGAGGGAAAGGCGAAAAGAACCCCGGCGAGGGGAGUGAAAAAGAACCUGAAACCGUGUACGUACAAGCAGUGGGAGCACCCUUCGGGGUGUGACUGCGUACCUUUUGUAUAAUGGGUCAGCGACUUAUAUUCUGUAGCAAGGUUAACCGAAUAGGGGAGCCGGAGGGAAACCGAGUCUUAAUUGGGCGUUAAGUUGCAGGGUAUAGACCCGAAACCCGGUGAUCUAGCCAUGGGCAGGUUGAAGGUUGGGUAACACUAACUGGAGGACCGAACCGACUAAUGUUGAAAAAUUAGCGGAUGACCUGUGGCUGGGGGUGAAAGGCCAAUCAAACCGGGAGAUAGCUGGUUCUCCCCGAAAGCUAUUUAGGUAGCGCCUCGUGAAUUCAUCUCCGGGGGUAGAGCACUGUUUCGGCUAGGGGGCCAUCCCGGCUUACCAACCCGAUGCAAACUGCGAAUACCGGAGAAUGUUAUCACGGGAGACACACGGCGGGUGCUAACGUCCGUCGUGAAGAGGGAAACAACCCAGACCGCCAGCUAAGGUCCCAAAGUCAUGGUUAAGUGGGAAACGAUGUGGGAAGGCCCAGACAGCCAGGAUGUUGGCUUAGAAGCAGCCAUCAUUUAAAGAAAGCGUAAUAGCUCACUGGUCGAGUCGGCCUGCGCGGAAGAUGUAACGGGGCUAAACCAU
rnacentral:rRNA from 3 species